rnacentral:rRNA from 1 species
AGCAGUCGCCGCGGGAAUACGGAGGGUGCAAGCGUUAUCCGGAUUUAUUGGGUUUAAAGGGUCCGUAGGCGGACUUAUAAGUCAGUGGUGAAAGCCUGUCGCUUAACGAUAGAACUGCCAUUGAUACUGUAAGUCUUGAGUAUAUUUGAGGUAGCUGGAAUAAGUAGUGUAGCGGUGAAAUGCAUAGAUAUUACUUAGAACACCAAUUGCGAAGGCAGGUUACCAAGAUAUAACUGACGCUGAGGGACGAAAGCGUGGGUAGCGAACAGGAUUAGAUACCCCUGUAGUCCCUGUCUCUUAUAC